rnacentral:rRNA from 1 species
AACGCGAAGAACCUUACCUGGGUUUACAUAUACCGGAGAACUGCAGAGAUGUGGUUUCCCUUGUGGUCGGUAUACAGGUGGUGCAUGGCUGUCGUCAGCUCGUGUCGUGAGAUGUUGGGUUAAGUCCCGCAACGAGCGCCACCCCUGUCCCUUGUUGCCAACAAGUAAUGGUGGGGACUCAUAGGAGACUGCCGGGGUCAACUCGGAGGAAGGUGGGGACGACGUCAAGUCAUCAUGCCCCUUAUGUCCAGGGCUUCACACAUGCUACAAUGGCCGGUACAAAGGGCUGCGAUCCCGUGAGGGGGAGCGAAUCCCUAAAAGCCGGUCUCAGUUCGGAUUGGGGUCUGCAACUCGACCCCAUGAAGUCGGAGUCGCUAGUAAUCGCAGAUCAGCACCCUUCCGGGAAAAACUUUCCCGGGUCUUGUACACACCG